AUUUGUUGCUACAACUACUGAAAUGUCCUGAAGGCAUCUGAUGCUCUCUGAUCUUGGAAGCUAUGAUGUGUCAGUUCUAUUUAGUAUUUAGAUGGGAGACCACUUGCGAAUACCAGAUGCUAUAGGGC
rnacentral:rRNA from 11 species